ensembl:lncRNA novel transcript, antisense to PPFIA2
AGAACUAACAUUCUGCUUUAAUAAUCCAAACACACUAUAAUUCCAUCAAUUUGAGUCUCUUAAAAUGUUACACUGAAAUGAAUCUCUCUGAAGAUGGACUUAUUGAUUUCUAUAUUCUUCCUCUAGCAUCAUGAAAUUUGACCUCUUCAGCCGUGCAUGGUUAACACUGUAAGUAUACAUGUGUUUUUUUGUUUUUUCUCCAAUCAUGGCAAAUGUGUCGAAAUUAUAGGCUGUGUCCUAGAUCUAUUAUUUUAGUUCUAUUAUGGCAAAGAAGAGAGUUUUAGGGAAAAGCGUUUCAAAGUGUUUGAAAAGUGCUUGAAAAAAAUAUAGAAAGCAGAAACAAUAUUCAUUAAUCAAUCUUGCAUAUAACAAAGCAAGCUAGGGCAAUAAAAAGGAUUUAUUCAUUUAGUUCCUUUCUUAGAAAUAACAAAAGCAUACUAAACCCAUUGUUCUGGCCAAUUCCUUUUAAAGUAAUCCAUUUACUUCAGUUCUAAUGGUAAUUAUCAUGUUACAUUUAUCUGUACCCAUUUCCAUUUUAUUUUUAUGUGAUUUUUAAAUGUGCACAUAUCAAAAUAAUGUCAGUAUGAGAAGGAAGCAGAACUUAAGUGGUCUUUACACCCUUACUAUUAUGAAUAAAGAAAAUGAGAUUUACAGAGAAUAGUGAUAAUUCUAUUUGUCUCCAACAAAUUGCCAUCUAGUCAGUCUCACUGUAGACAGGACACUCUGCCUCCCUAAAUCUCAGUUCAAUUACCUUUAAAGGAGAUGGAUAGUAUCAUAUCUAAAAAGACCACAAUGACAUUACCAAAAUCAAUAAUAAGCAUAAUAUUUACUGAAAGACUCUUUAUGCCAACCACAGUUUUACGUUGUUUGAAUGUAUUAAUUAAUUUAAAACUCACAACAUCAUUAUAAGUUAUUAUUAUGGUUCAGCCAAUUAAGGUAAAAAGAAAAAGGAAAUUGCCUAUGGUUACAAAGCUAGUGAAUAGCAGAAUGACUUAGGGAGAAAGUAAGUUUCACUUGGUGGGCGUUAUAGCUCCUCUUUGGAGUAGGUUUGUCUCUUUCCUUAGCCUUCUAUUUCCAGAGUAGAAUAUAUUUACUGGAACCAAGUAAAUACUCUAUUUAGAAUAAAGGUUUUUUUAUUUACCACUUUUCCUUACUUGCCAACGCUAAUUUCUAACUACUCAAAGCUAUCCACUUUCCAUAAAAUAUUUCAUACUUUUAUUGCUCCUUAUUUCUGUUUUUGUCAGACCUGCAAGCUAAAAAUUGUUUUGACAUUUUUGAAUAGUUGAAAAACAUUAAAAGAGAAUAAUAUUGUGUAAAUUAUAAGAAAUUCACUUUCAGUGUCCAUGAAUAAAUUUUAAUUGGAAAAUGGCCAAACUCAUUUGUUUACACAUUGUCUAUGAUUGUUUUCACUCCACAAUGGUAGAGAAGUUGUGACAGAGACCAUCUGGCUCAUAAAGCCAAAAAUAUUUACUAGUUGGACUUUUACCGAAGUUUGCUGAUACCUGGUCUAGUGGUUCUUGUCUAUCUCUUUAAGGAAAAAAAAACUGUUCAAAUGGAUACAGUUAAAGUCAGAACUAUAACUAAAAUUCCUGAGUUUUAGGUUUAUACGUUGUUUCUAAUUUCCUUCACAUAAGUACAAAGAAAAAA